CAUGUAGCUCGGAAUUUCCGUCAGUAGCAUCCAGAAACCCCAACUCUGACCACAAUGGGCAAUGAUGAUUGCCCACAUUGGCAUUGACGUGCAGAUGUUUACCCAUGGUGUCACGUGUUUCUGCGAGGAAACAGAACAUAACGUUGAAGCUGUCCUGAAUGAACUUCUUCUCGUCGAAACUGAUCAUUUUACUUUGGGCUGGUGAAUCCGCACCACAAAUGUAAAACAAAAUAGUCCAUAACAAUGAAACAGUUCCAAAGACGUAAAAUACACUAGGCCACCCAAUUGACGAAGCAGCGAGAUAUCCAGAAAUUGGCAUAGCAAUGACAGUGCCAAAUUGAGCACCGGCGUACGCAAACGUUCCUAUGAAUAGGUGGAACCCAUUUUGACAGCAUGGUGUGUAGGCUUGGCAUAAGGCACGCCUGUGACAGUCCCAUUCCCACCCGACAAGCGCAAACUGCACCCCAGUCGCCAUACUUGGCUGCCAAAGGAACGAGCAUGUUGAGAAUGCUGCAAAUGAACAUUCCAGUUGACAGGAGUCUUUGAGCACUCCAAUGCUGAGCGAGGUAACCACUCGGAAGUUGCAUUAUGGUGUAACCCCAGAAGAAGGAGCUCAGGAUGAUAGACUUGGUCCACUCGUUCCAAUCAUCCUCCGGCUCAACCUUCAUGUAUUCCGUCCGAGGAAUCGGAAUUUUGGUGUCGUCCGCUAAUGACUUCAUGCUGAUGGCUUACACUUCCUUGUCGAACUACGAGCCGGGAACCAAGGGGACAGGAUUCUAUUAAAGGUUCACUAUCGUCAGUUAACUAAGUUACUCUGAUUUUAUACAAGUUGGAGCCCCCACCCUGUGAAAUUUAUGGAAAAAAGUAAAUUCUUACACACAAUCUUGACGAAUCAUAAGUACGGGCGCUUUUUUGAGGAGAAAACUGGUGAAUGUGGUGAUUGAUAGACGCUGUAAAAAAUGAUAACGAAGCCUCAACCCAUGAUGAUGCCUGUUCUUCUUCUUGUUAUAUAAGAAGCAUUGUAAUUGCGCAAAGGCAGAGGAACAAGG